rnacentral:sRNA from 1 species
UAAUUAGUUGCCAAAAUUUAGUUCAAAUUUUGGAAAAAUCUGCGUGAUAUAUGGGAUUGGAAUAUAUUUAAAAUGUUUUUCGUUUGUUAAUCAAUUUAUUGCUGAAAAACCAAUAAUUAAAAACCAGUGGCAGCCUUUAUAAAUAAGUUCCAACUCCAGGAUUUAUUUCACAAAAUGGCUGCAAAAAUGUAUAUAUAGAUUAUUUUAUUGAUAUUACUUGACGUUAAUGCAAAUAUUAAA